UUUUUAUGAGAGUUUGAUCCUGGCUCAGGACGAACGCUGGCGGCGUGCCUAAUACAUGCAAGUCGAACGCUUCUUUUUCCACCGGAGCUUGCUCCACCGGAAAAAGAGGAGUGGCGAACGGGUGAGUAACACGUGGGUAACCUGCCCAUCAGAAGGGGAUAACACUUGGAAACAGGUGCUAAUACCGUAUAACAAUCGAAACCGCAUGGUUUUGAUUUGAAAGGCGCUUUCGGGUGUCGCUGAUGGAUGGACCCGCGGUGCAUUAGCUAGUUGGUGAGGUAACGGCUCACCAAGGCCACGAUGCAUAGCCGACCUGAGAGGGUGAUCGGCCACAUUGGGACUGAGACACGGCCCAAACUCCUACGGGAGGCAGCAGUAGGGAAUCUUCGGCAAUGGACGAAAGUCUGACCGAGCAACGCCGCGUGAGUGAAGAAGGUUUUCGGAUCGUAAAACUCUGUUGUUAGAGAAGAACAAGGAUGAGAGUAACUGUUCAUCCCUUGACGGUAUCUAACCAGAAAGCCACGGCUAACUACGUGCCAGCAGCCGCGGUAAUACGUAGGUGGCAAGCGUUGUCCGGAUUUAUUGGGCGUAAAGCGAGCGCAGGCGGUUUCUUAAGUCUGAUGUGAAAGCCCCCGGCUCAACCGGGGAGGGUCAUUGGAAACUGGGAGACUUGAGUGCAGAAGAGGAGAGUGGAAUUCCAUGUGUAGCGGUGAAAUGCGUAGAUAUAUGGAGGAACACCAGUGGCGAAGGCGGCUCUCUGGUCUGUAACUGACGCUGAGGCUCGAAAGCGUGGGGAGCAAACAGGAUUAGAUACCCUGGUAGUCCACGCCGUAAACGAUGAGUGCUAAGUGUUGGAGGGUUUCCGCCCUUCAGUGCUGCAGCUAACGCAUUAAGCACUCCGCCUGGGGAGUACGACCGCAAGGUUGAAACUCAAAGGAAUUGACGGGGGCCCGCACAAGCGGUGGAGCAUGUGGUUUAAUUCGAAGCAACGCGAAGAACCUUACCAGGUCUUGACAUCCUUUGACCACUCUAGAGAUAGAGCUUCCCCUUCGGGGGCAAAGUGACAGGUGGUGCAUGGUUGUCGUCAGCUCGUGUCGUGAGAUGUUGGGUUAAGUCCCGCAACGAGCGCAACCCUUAUUGUUAGUUGCCAUCAUUCAGUUGGGCACUCUAGCAAGACUGCCGGUGACAAACCGGAGGAAGGUGGGGAUGACGUCAAAUCAUCAUGCCCCUUA
rnacentral:rRNA from 1 species